GACGAACGCGGCGGCGUGCCUAAUACAUGCAAGUAGAACGCUGAAGGAGGAGCUUGCUUCUCUGGAUGAGUUGCGAACGGGUGAGUAACGCGUAGGUAACCUGCCUGGUAGCGGGGGAUAACUAUUGGAAACGAUAGCUAAUACCGCAUAAGAGUAGAUGUUGCAUGACAUUUGCUUAAAAGGUGCAAUUGCAUCACUACCAGAUGGACCUGCGUUGUAUUAGCUAGUUGGUGGGGUAACGGCUCACCAAGGCGACGAUACAUAGCCGACCUGAGAGGGUGAUCGGCCACACUGGGACUGAGACACGGCCCAGACUCCUACGGGAGGCAGCAGUAGGGAAUCUUCGGCAAUGGACGGAAGUCUGACCGAGCAACGCCGCGUGAGUGAAGAAGGUUUUCGGAGCGUAAAGCUCUGUUGUAAGAGAAGAACGAGUGUGAGAGUGGAAAGUUCACACUGUGACGGUAUCUUACCAGAAAGGGACGGCUAACUACGUGCCAGCAGCCGCGGUAAUACGUAGGUGGCAAGCGUUAUCCGGAUUUAUUGGGCGUAAAGAGAGUGCAGGCGGUUUUCUAAGUCUGAUGUGAAAGCCUUCGGCUUAACCGGAGAAGUGCAUCGGAAACUGGAUAACUUGAGUGCAGAAGAGGGUAGUGGAACUCCAUGUGUAGCGGUGGAAUGCGUAGAUAUAUGGAAGAACACCAGUGGCGAAGGCGGCUACCUGGUCUGCAACUGACGCUGAGACUCGAAAGCAUGGGUAGCGAACAGG
rnacentral:rRNA from 1 species